rnacentral:lncRNA from 1 species
GUAACUGCUGAGGACUGGCUGGUCACGCUGUGUAGCUUGGGUGACUGACAACUUGGGUGCGUCCAGAGCCUAUGCCUGGGUACAGAGUUGAGCUUCAUUACGAACAUCAACAUCACCCCAGCCAGGGAAAUACCACCAGCUACAAGUGGAGAGGCCAAGUGCCCAGCUCUCAGCGGUUUUUACCAGUACGGAGCUGCCCCAUGAGAGACACCGGUGAGGUGUGUGGGGCCCCAGGGGAGCACCCCAGCACAGGACAACUGCCAAGUAGAGUUGAUUAUGACUAAUUCAUGUGAGGAAAUACAACAGAGAAGUUAAACAGCAACAACCAGUUUAAUUUCACUUGUUACCAAUAAGGCCUAACUUAAUUUUCAAAAGGAGAUGAAAGGGUUACCACCUUCCUCUCCCAUGUGGAUGUUGAGUGACACAGGUGAAGCCUUCAGCUGUCCUUCUGAUCCUGAUGGACCCACCAAAAGCACCAAGGAGCAACCAGCCCUGGCUGAAAAGCAGUGCAGGAGCACAGGAGCCAGAGCCGUGUGGCCAGCGAUGGAGACAAGAAGAGAGAGAGGGCAUCCCUGCCCCAUCCUGCACAGGGGAUCAGGCUUUUCUCAAGGAUGGUGGAACACCGGGGCUGCUGCCAUGGGGCCCAGUGGCCACACAGGACUCCCAGACUGGAGGUGCAGGGGUGGAGAACGUGGGGUACCUCAUCACAGAUGUCAUCAUCAUCAUCAUGGUCACAGCCCAUGUGGGAACAGCGGGACAGGCAGCUGGUAUGUAGUCUAGAAGACAGGCAUUUUUAGCAAACAGAUGCAAAGAUAGUAAUGCUUUUUUGGAAAUCAGCCUCAUGGCUGG